UCAGCUGGGAAAAAUACCUUUUGCUUCCUGGUCACCAUCUACACGCGUGUUGUGGCAGCAUAACUAACUCCACUGUAACAUAGUGCUUGUACCUGACAGUACUGUCCUACAGCAGAGUUAAUUAGUUUACUGUGGCCUAAUAGUACUGCACCUGUAGAUGGUGACACUUUUCUGCGGAGCUAAAUAGGAAACUCCACAGUAAAGCACACUUGUAGAUGCACUCAAUGAGUAGAAAAUGCUUAUUGCAUCUCCACUGAACAUGCCCCCAGCACCACUGUCCUUCACUGUCCGCCACGUACUGUUGUGCAACACUGAGGAUAGGAUGUGCUUCAGGCUUCACAGGCUUCAUUUCCAGACAAGCCACAGCCACAGCCAUCUCCUAUCAAGAGUCAGGAGAUGACCAGUGAGUCUUAGCUCUUAGACACAUUGGGUGCAUCUACACAAGAUGCUUAAUGUGCAGAAGAAAGAUUCUGCUGUGUAUUAGCGCGGCUGGCAAAAACCGUGCUAAUGUGCAGUAGACAGUUUAACGCACGUUAAAAUUACAAAAACUGUUAAUCCGUGCUAAU